AAUCCACUGAGACUGUUGAGCUUGGUGCCAGGCACAGAGUAAAUAUCAAGUGUUCUUGUUAUUUUUUUUUAAGGGACUGUUACUUAUUCAGCAUGUUGAGUGCCUCCUGUACUUCUGGCAUUGGGGGUGAGGGGACAGCAAAUACCAGAAUUGUGUUCCAGUGAAACUGGCCAGUGCUAUCAUAUUUCCAGAGAGAAGGGAGGACCAACCGUGAAGUGGCAACAGACUCAUUGUACAAGUGAAAAAACAAGCUCAAGAGAGGUUGCGUGGUUUGCCUGAGGGCACACAGCUAGUUUGAGAGAGGGGCCGGACUGGAGUUAGAAAUCGCAGGGUGGAAGCCCCUCCAGUGGGUCUUGCUUUGGUGGUUUUCCAGAUUUUCAGAAUCAAGGGGAGAAUGGAGGGUCGCUCGGGGUUUGGAAACACAAGUGACAAGCUCAGGGAAGGUGGCCGAGUGUCUCCCAGCUCCACGAGGAGGAGACACUCUGAGCUAUGGGAUUUAAACAAGGGGGUUUGGCUAGGCUCUCUUCCCCCACCCCGGUCCACCUCCCAGCCAGGAACCCAGUGGAUCAGAGCUGAGGCUUUUCCUUCUGGGAAGGUUCCAGAUGGGUCUAGACAGGUUCAGAGAGUGGCCCAGAAGCAGGAGAACGGAAAUUGAGCUUUGCCUUCCCAGGAUUCCCAGAGCUGCUGUUUAACUUUGAGGAGUUGACUGGGUUCCGCCCUGCCUCUUGCAAGUCUGAACUCCCAGAAUGAUUAACCACUCGGUGCGGAGUCCCAGCCUCUGCCAGAAUCCGACCUACCCACCCUGUGUGUUCCAGGCAGGAGCUUGCCACACUGGACAACAAGGAUGAUGAAAUUUUUGUCCACUUGGCAAAUAUUUGCUGAGCACCCCUCUGUGUCGGGGACAGCCGGACAAUUCCAACCUUGUCGAACCAGCUGCACGGGAAUGUGAGCUCACUCCUUGGAUCGUUGCCACGAGGGUUCAUGGCCCGAAGCCCCCGCCCCACACACAGUGGACUGAAUCAUGAAUCAAUGUACUGAUUUGGUCCUGGUGCUUGGAAUCAGUUCUGCACAAGGCCCCAGAAGGUCUGCCUUUCAGAUCCUUCUGGGCGGGGCCUCGGUCAUCUAGUCUGAGAAAGGGGAGCAAAUUCUAGGGGUGAUGUCAGAUACUGAUGAAUUCGAAGCGCCAGACAGGAACUGUACAGAUCAGCAACUUAACUGACACCACCUUCACAAAUGACCAGUUGACCUUACCAGCAACGGGAUGAACUGACACGUGUCCUCCUCAUCGGAGGCAUGAGGACACGGCUCUGCUUCUGGGGGUUCCUGCCCAAAAUGCACACAAUGAGUGUAAUCAUGAGGAAGUAUCAGACAAACCCAAACCGAGGGCAUUCUACAAAAUAAACAGUCCAUUCUCCUCAAAAAUGGGAGCCAAAGAAAGACUGAAGAACUGUUCCAGAUCAGAAGAGUAAAGAGCCAUGACAACGGAAUGCGUUAUUUGCUGGAUGGAUCCUAAAGGACUUUUCCCCUUCUUUUGCUUAUAAAGGACAUUAGCAAGACAAAUGGAGAUUUGAAGAAAUCUGCAGAUCAGUUAAUGGUAUUGUACCGAUGCUCCUUUCCUGACGUUGGUAAUUGCACUGUGGUUAUUUAAAA